rnacentral:rRNA from 1 species
UACGUAGGGGCCAAGCGUUGUCCGGAUUUAUUGGGCGUAAAGAGCUCGUAGGCGGUUUGGAUAGUCGGGUGUGAAAACUCCGAGCUUAACUCGGAGACGCCACCCGAUACUGCCAUGACUAGAGUCCGGUAGGGGAGACUGGAAUUCCUGGUGUAGCGGUGAAAUGCGCAGAUAUCAGGAGGAACACCGGUGGCGAAGGCGGGUCUCUGGGCCGAUAACUGACGCUGGAGGAGCGAAAGCGUGGGGAGCGAACAGG